UAUAAUGGAAUUCCAAAGCAGGGGGCACUCCUAUGCCAUUCCAGAGAACGAAGAAAUCUCGCACACCCAUCAGAACGUGCACAACGAUCACGAAAAUGAAGGCGAGAGAGCAGUGUCAAAAUUGCAACGCAGGCACAGUGACGUAAAAGUGUACAAAGAAAUAUGUGACUUUUAUGCAAGAUUCAACAUGGCCAAUGCUCUGGCCAAUGCCAUGUGUGAGCGCUGCCGGGGAGGUUUCGCACCUGCCGAGAAGAUUGUGAACAGCAAUGGCGAGCUGUAUCACGAACAGUGUUUCGUGUGUGCCCAGUGCUUCCAGCAGUUCCCCGAAGGGCUUUUUUAUGAGUUUGAAGGAAGGAAAUAUUGCGAACAUGACUUUCAGAUGCUUUUUGCUCCUUGCUGCCAUCAGUGUGGGGAGUUCAUUAUUGGUCGUGUUAUUAAAGCUAUGAACAACAGUUGGCAUCCAGAAUGUUUCUGCUGUGAUAUCUGCCAACAGGUAUUGGCAGACAUUGGAUUUGUGAAGAAUGCUGGCAGACACCUUUGCCGUCCUUGCCACAAUCGGGAGAAAGCCAGGGGCAUGGGCAAAUACAUUUGCCAAAAGUGCCAUGCUAUCAUCGAAGAACAACCCCUCAUCUUCAAGAAUGACCCUUACCAUCCCGAUCACUUCAACUGUGCCAAUUGCGGAAAGGAACUUACUGCUGACGCCCGAGAACUGAAGGGGGAGUUGUACUGCUUGCCUUGCCAUGACAAAAUGGGCGUCCCCAUCUGUGGAGCAUGCAGGAGGCCAAUUGAAGGACGAGUGGUGAACGCUAUGGGCAAACAGUGGCACGUGGAGCAUUUUGUUUGUGCGAAGUGUGAGAAGCCAUUCCUAGGCCACCGUCACUAUGAGAGGAAGGGGCUGGCGUAUUGUGAGACCCAUUACAACCAGCUCUUUGGUGAUGUUUGCUUCCACUGUAAUCGUGUGAUUGAAGGAGAUGUUGUGUCGGCAUUGAACAAGGCAUGGUGCGUGAACUGCUUCGCGUGCUCUACUUGCAACACUAAGUUAACACUCAAGGACAAGUUUGUUGAAAUCGAUCUCAAACCUGUCUGCAAGCACUGUUACGAGAAAAUGCCGGAAGAAUUUAAGAGGAGGCUCGCCAAACGGGAGCGAGAAGCAAAGGAUAAAGACAAACACAAAAAGAAAAAGCCUGUCUGCCUGUAAACAUGCUUUGUUCCUACCUCCCAGCAACUACGCUCCUUCCUUCCUUCCUUUCGAAACAAGUUUGUGGAAUUUGAUAUGAAGCCUGUCUGCAAGAAGUGCUAUGAGAAGUUCCCACUGGAGCUCAAGAAGCGACUGAAGAAAUUGGCUGAGACGUUGGGAAGAAAGUGAGGUCCUCCUCUCCAGAUCUCAUCUUGCUGUGCAAAGUUUAGGAAGUGAUAUUACAGACUUAUUUUUGUUGAGUCUAUGAAACCUAAGUGCAAAAAA